rnacentral:rRNA from 1 species
UUCGCCCUUAGAGUUGAUCCUGGCUCCCGACGAACGUUGGCGGCGCGCCUAACACAUGCAAGUCGAACGAGCGAGAGAGAGCUUGCUUUCUCAAGCGCGUGGCGAACUGGUGAGUAACGCGUGAGGAACCUGCCUCAAAGAGGGGGACAACAGUUGGAAACGACUGCUAAUACCGCAUAAGCCCACAGCUCGGCAUCGAGCAGAGGGAAAAGGAGCAAUCCGCUUUGAGAUGGCCUCGCGUCCGAUUAGCUAGUUGGUGAGGUAAUGGCCCACCAAGGCGACGAUCGGUAGCCGGACUGAGAGGUUGAACGGCCACAUUGGGACUGAGACACGGCCCAGACUCCUACGGGAGGCAGCAGUGGGGAAUAUUGCACAAUGGGGGAAACCCUGAUGCAGCGACGCCGCGUGGAGGAAGAAGGUCUUCGGAUUGUAAACUCCUGUUGUUGAGGAAGAUAAUGACGGUACUCAACAAGGAAGUGACGGCUAACUACGUGCCAGCAGCCGCGGUAAAACGUAGGUCACAAGCGUUGUCCGGAAUUACUGGGUGUAAAGGAAGCGCAGGCGGGAAGACAAGUUGGAAGUGAAAUCUAUGGGCUCAACCCAUAAACUGCUUUCAAAACUGUUUUUCUUGAGUAGUGCAGAGGUAGGCGGAAUUCCCGGUGUAGCGGUGGAAUGCGUAGAUAUCGGGAGGAACACCAGUGGCGAAGGCGGCCUACUGGGCACCCACUGACGCUGAGGCUCGAAAGUGUGGGUAGCNAACAGGAUUAGAUACCCUGUUAGUCCACACCGUAACCGAUGAUACUUAGGUGUUGGAGGAUUGACCCCUUCAGUCCCGCAGUUAACACAAUAAGUAAUCCACCUGGGGAGUACCGACCGCAAGGUUGAAACUCAAAGGAAUUGACGGGGGCCCGCACAAGCAGUGGAGUAUGUGGUUUAAUUCGACGCUACGCGAAGAACCUUACCAAGUCUUGACAUCCCUUGACGAACAUAGAAAUAUGUUUUCUCUUCGGAGCAAGGAGACAGGUGGUGCAUGGUUGUCGUCAGCUCGUGUCGUGAGAUGUUGGGUCCCGUCCCGCAACGAGCGCAACCCUUACUGUCAGUUACUACGCAAGAGGACUCUGGCAGGACUGCCGUUGACAAAACGGAGGAAGGUGGGGAUGACGUCAAAUCAUCAUGCCCUUUAUGACUUGGGCUACACACGUACUACAAUGGCGUUAAACAAAGAGAAGCAAGACCGCGAGGUGGAGCAAAACUCAGAAACAACGUCCCAGUUCGGACUGCAGGCUGCCACACGCCUGCNCGGAGUCGGNNUUGCUAGUNUUCGUGGAUCAGCAUGCCNCGGGAUACGUUNCCGGGC